rnacentral:rRNA from 1 species
GACAGAGGGUGCAAACGUUGUUCGGAAUUACUGGGCGUAAAGCGCGUGUAGGCGGCUUGGCAAGUCGGGUGUGAAAGCCCUGGGCUCAACCCAGGAAGUGCACUCGAAACUGCUUCGCUUGAGUGUCGGAGAGGAAAGCGGAAUUCUCGGUGUAGAGGUGAAAUUCGUAGAUAUCGAGAGGAACACCGGUGGCGAAGGCGGCUUUCUGGACGAUUACUGACGCUGAGACGCGAAAGCGUGGGGAGCAAACAGG